GAUGGUUUAUCUUGAGAUCUAGGUUAUAUUGAUUCAAAUUAGAUUAUUAAUAACAGUAUUUAAUAAGAUGCUGGAGAAAAGCCUGGCUAUAGAAAAAUGAGUUGGGCAAGAGAUACUAAAAGCUAGUAAAUCAUGUAGUUUGAAGAUAUGGAGAUUUAGAACUGAAUUAUGGUUUUCCAAUAUUUUCCAGUUGCCUGUCAUGUUCAUAUCACCCAGUGCUUCCACACACCCUUAUUCUUAGAAUGCUGAUAUAUCAGAGUCAUUGUGCAAUGCUGAGAAAUGUCAUCUGUGCAACAAGAUCCAAAUAUUUAAGAUAGUGCAAAAGUUCCACUAAGUUUAGGCAAUCCACUCAUACCUGCUCAUUUUAAGAUCACACACACAUACACAUACACAGAGGGGUAGUCAUAGACUUAUUGACUUAAAAUAAAAGAAGCAGUUGCCACUUAGAGACAACACAUUGGUCCCUUUCAAACCAAAAUAUUGAGAGAUAAGUGUUAUUGUCCUAAAAUAUACUAGCAAAGGUAAUUGAAGGCAUCAAAGUCUCCAAAUAAUCUCCAAAAAAAAAAAAAAAUGGGCAUUUUUGUAGACACACUGUUACUUUUGUAAAAGAAUGAAAUCAUUUUAAACACUGGAGUAUUUUAGUGCAUUGAUCAGCAUGGAAUUAUAUCAAACAACAAAAGUUGCAAAGAUAGGAUUUUUCAUAUUGAAAAUAAGAAAAACAUAUAUCUAGCUAUUGUGAUAUGAUAAAGAAAUAAAGCUCACAACAAAUUUCAAUGUUUUUAUGUAAUAAUGCCUAUUCAGAAGGCAGUGCUGUAGGGCCUAUCAUACUGAUUUUCUAUUAAAAUACUUCAGCUUCGUUAUUAUCUGAACAUUAUAUAAAGGAGUCUACUCCCUGUAUUUGAAAUAAGAUUACAUGUGAUGAUUUGAUGACACAGAGCAAUGAGAAAGAAACAUAAGGACACACACACACACAGAGAGAACAAAAUAAUAACAGAGUCCAUAAGAAAUCUUUUUAAAAUGCUGAACCUACAAAUAGUCUUGUUUUAUGUUGAAUAUAUUGGUAUUCCUAAGAGCACAUAAUGCCUUAUAAUAGUUUUAUUCAUGUUUAUCUUCCUUUGGAAAAUAGUCAUACAAAGAAUAAAUAUAGUCUGGUUUUAAAUGUGGACUACUGGGUUAAAUUGGUACAUUCGUGUGAAUUUUAUCUUUUAAUCCCAUUUAAAUUUGAAUUUCCAUGAGGAUAUGUGUAAGAGUACAAAUAUGACCUUAGAAUUCCUUCUUGCUGAAGAGAGUUUAUGCUAUAGACAAAUUAUAAGUUGCAUUUGCCAAACCAGAACUGCCUAGAACAGUCUGCAGCAGUGAACCCCUGACUCUGGGAAAUUAAAAUGUUAUGCAUUGUGCAAAUUUAGCACUUUCUACUCAUUAAAACAUUUGCGUGUCACACAGCUCGGCUCUUCCAUCGGUUCUCACCAGAGGAAGUAGCAGAACUCUCUGCAUGUAAAUUUCAGUGUGGACACGCUGCAUACUGGGCUCCUGCAACACCAGGUGCUUAAAACAUAGGGAAACCAUUUACCUAACAAAUCACCACACUCUGGGUUCAGAAUGACGUGUUUAUAACUGCCUGCGGUGGGCACUUGCCAAGGUGCUAGUCACUUUGCAGCAAAAUUCUUGUCAACACAGCAGUUUGGGAGGAAAGCGUAGCUUUGCGUGUUAGACAGUGUGCACUUUUUUUAUCUGAAGUUAGAAGUUGAUGUCAUAGCUGGGUUUCUAUAGUUCUUGAUAUGCACAGUGUCCCAGGUGGCAAAUAAAUAUUCUGCCCAUGAACUUCCUGCCCAACACAGCCCUCGAUAGUCUCCAGCAUAAUCAGUGUGCUCUGCCUUUCUACUUUCUGCUAAAACAUUUUCCUGCUUUUGAAAGCAAGGAUGUGGUCAGAAACUUUAGGCCGCAGAAACCUGAUGCACACCUCUGGAGCCCAGAGAGGCUCGUGCAAGGAAACAAAAGCAAGAGCUUUCACCUCUGGUAGCCUUGCUGGUAGAUCAGGAAAAUUGGAGCUAUAUAGGCUGAGAAAAAUGCCACUAUACAGGCAGACCAAAAUGGACUUGCUGUAAGGGUGUUAAAUUGACUUUUAUUUGAGCAUAAAAAGUCAUCAGAUUGGCUGAUACUCUUUAGGAUUAAAUCACCUUAGUUCAGGAUUCUACUGUUUUACUCUUUUUGUCGAAAGUCUUUGUUAUGAUGGAGUCAUGAUGAGUGUUACCACCCUUGAACAUACUAAUGCUUUAUUCUUCUUCUAAAACAUUGAUGGCUUUGGAUUGUCCAGCAUAAAAGCACUAGGGCACCUGAUGUAUACAUAAGCUUGUUUCUGGUGAACUGAGAUGAAUUUCAGGCAAUUAUGCUGCAUCCGCUAUGAGUCCUGAGAUAAGAUCUUUUUCCUGCUGGGCUGUUAAUCAUUUGCUGCCUGUUUUCAGAACGUGUGCUGGUAACUGUUUCAAACAAGGUCAUGAACCAACUUGGUGUGGCUUGGCCAGUGUCCCAUAAAAGAUGGAGCAACAGAUAGCCACAGGUACCUCAGCUGUCUGACAUCCAUAAGAAAAUGCUCCUUUCCAUUUUUGUUGUCGUGUCUUCAAUUUUACAUAUUCUGAAGCUUGGGUUUGUGUAAGCCCAGUCAAUAAUGAACCCUCAGAAGAGUAGGUAAACGACCUUGGUGUUUUUAACAAACCUGACCUUUGACAUCAUUAGUGUUCUGAUGGGUUUAUAAAAUAAUCCAUGACUCUGACUCGGAAGGAGGGGAAAUAAAAAGAGCCUGGGCAUGUUUAUCUUUGAGUCACUCUUGAGGGUUAACAAGAAAAUUUGCAUCAGAAGAAAUGUGAUCGAGAUGCAAAUAUCCAACUUGUUAGGUUGGUGUGCAAUCACUGGCAAACAGAUCAGGCAGCCAGGUCAAGGAAAGGGGCAAGUCUACCUGGAGAGGAUUCUUCUAAAGAUCAAAUCUUAAGUGAAAAACAAACAAACAAACAAACAAACAAAACCCUUAGAAAGAUUCUUAGUGAGUGUGUGUCUAAUAGAUAAAUACAACUAAACUAACUAAAAUUUGGUGAUUUGAGAACAUUAGUUUAAGCCAGAUGUGUAGCUCAUGCUAAGGCUGAGGCUAGUUUAGGCUACAUAGUGUGUUCUAGACCAGAAUGAGCCACACCUUAAGAUCUUGUCUCAAACAUU
rnacentral:lncRNA from 1 species